rnacentral:rRNA from 1 species
AUCUACGGUCCAGCGAAAAAUCUACGGAUAUCUCUGGUAAGCUAGAGCCAAUACGUGUUACCAAUUCUCCGUGAGUCCUUCGGGGCGAGCGGGGUGCAGUUAUCGGAACGAGGUAGCGUGCUUCGGCGCGCAAUCAGAGGACUCUAGAUAACCUUGCCGACCGUGUAUAUUAUCCACGGCGUGGACCACGAGACUGCCACCUAUCAACUUUUGACGGUAGGGUAUUGGCCUACCGUGGUUGCAACGGGUACGGGGAAUCAGGGUUCGAUUCCGGAGAGUAGGCCUGAGAAACGGCCGCCAUUGCCACGGCACACAGCAGGCGCGCAAAUUUGUCAAUAUUCGAAAGAAUGAACGAGUGAGAACGUAUGGUCGGGUGGGACGAAUUUCGUUACCGCCACGUCGAUGAGACUAGUCCAAAAAGCUAGUCGAAUGCCACUGGAGGGCAAGUCUGGUGCCAGCAGCCGCGGUAAUUCCAGCUCCGGUAGUUCACGGGAUUAUUGCUGAGACUAAAACGUCCGUAGUCGCAACUAGCACCACCCCGGUGCCAGGUAUAUCUCGUAAUGAGAUUGCCUGGCUCGGGGCGGCACGGCCCUGGUGACGUUAGCGCGUCACUUGCGGCCCGCAUCCUUGACCUAAACCAAACGAUCAAAGUGAGCUCGUGCUCGAUGGUUUUGCAUGGAAUCGUGGAACGGGGCCGGCGUUCUGUACUUCGAGAGCGCUGGCGACGAUCAACGGGAGCGAUCAGGGGUGAGGGAACUGAAGGGCGAGGGGUAAAAUCUGAUGAGCCUUUCAAGACCACCGAAAGCGAAAGCAUUCACCAGGAGCGUUUCCGUCGAUAAAGGACUGAAGCCACCGUAGUGAACUGGAUUAGAUACCCAGGUAUCGGUGUGCCCCAAACUAUGCCAACCGGCCGGAUGCUCGAUUUACUUUCGUGGCGAGUAUUCGGUCCGAGGAAGCUGGAGCGAUUUGGCUUCUGGGAGAUUACGGCUGCAAAGUUGAAACUUAAAGGAAUUGACGGAAGGGCACCAUCAGGCCUGGAUUAUGUGGCUCAAUUGGAUUCGACGCCCAGUACCCAACCAGGACCGGAGCACCCGACGAAGCACUGCUCGAAUAGCCUUGCCGAUGAGUGUGCGGGUGGUGCAUGGUCGCCGUAGUUCGUGAGGUGACUUGUCUGGUUAAUUCCGACAACGAACGCAACCGCCCCGUUCGACUAUCGAGCCCUGCGCAAUUUGCGUUCGGCCCUUAGGAAACUCGAACUGACAAACUCGUGGAGCGGGUCUACCGCAACCGAGAGGAAGCUACGGCGAUGGCAGGUCUGUGAUGCCCCUAGAAGCCCUGGGUUGCACACGUCAUACAAUGCCCGUCCGAACGCGCUUACGCCGUGCCGAGAGGUACAGCUUAAUCGUCGUAAAAGCGGGCCCAGU